rnacentral:rRNA from 1 species
CACGAGGAACAAUUGGAGGGCAAGUCUGGUGCCAGCAGCCGCGGUAAUUCCAGCUCCAAUGGCAGCCGCGGUAAUUCCAGCUCCAAUAGCGUAUAUUAAAGUUGUUGCAGUUAAAAAGCUCUUAGUUGAACUUCGGGGUCUACCCAUUGGUCAGGCUUAAUUGUCUGUACUGGUGAGAUGGGUCUCUACCUUCUGAGGAACUUCCAUGCCAUUUAUUUGGUGUGGUUGGAAAUCAGGACUGUGACUUUGAAAAAAUUAGAGUGUUUAAAGCAGACUAUCGUCUGAAUACAUUAGCAUGGAAUUAUGAAAUAGGACGGACUCAGCUUCAAUAGCCUAUAUUAAGGUUGUUGGAUUCUAUUUAUAGGGAUAGUUGGUGGCAUUAGUAUUCAAUUGUCAGAGGUGAAAUUCUUGGAUUUAUUGAAGACUAACUACUGCGAAAGCAUUUGCCAAGGAUGUUUUCAUUAAUCAAGAACGAAAGUUAGGGGAUCGAAGACGAUCAGAUACCGUCGUAGUCUUAACCAUAAACUAUGCCGACUAGGGAUCGGACGAAGUUAAU